rnacentral:rRNA from 1 species
UACAACGCACUAUUUGUUCAUAGUAGUCGUUGCUGUCAACAGCACGCUGCUAACCAUCAACGCAGGAGACUAUAUCUUCUACACAGACGGGAUGUGGACCUCCCUCGUAGUAUUCUCAAUCUCGCAAUCGAGCAUGCCCGUUGUGGGUGCGAUAUACUACACGCACUUCACAGGACUCCAGGAAACUGAAACUUACUACGCCCUAAUCCUGAAAAUCAACACAUUGUUCACAAAGGGUGCAGUGUUACCCCUGGGCUUACCUUACGUAUUUCUUGUGCUACAAGACGAAACAAGCACGCUGAAAUCAUCAUUGGCGGUUCACUAGUUGGCCUGUCACUUCCUCUGUUCAACAUGGUCAACCUGCUGCUCGUCAGGGAUCCACUCGAAGUGGCAUUCAAGUAUCCUAGACCAACACUACCAGCAUACAUGACUCCAAUCGAGCCCCAGGUGGGUAAGUUCUACAACAGUCCGGUAGCGCUAGGUUCAGGUGCAGGAGCAGUACUGUCCGUCCCGAUCGCUGCGUUGGGUGCAAAGCUUAACACGUGG